rnacentral:rRNA from 1 species
UCGAGAAUCUUUCACAAUGGGGGAAACCCUGAUGGAGCGACGCCGCGUGGAGGAUGAAGGCCCUUGGGUCGUAAACUCCUGUCAUAAGGGAACAAGAAAGUGAUAGUACCUUAAGAGGAAGAGACGGCUAACUCUGUGCCAGCAGCCGCGGUAAUACAGAGGUCUCAAGCGUUGUUCGGAUUCAUUGGGCGUAAAGGGUGCGCAGGCGGUAUGGUAAGUCGGAGUGUGAAAUUUAGGGGCUCAACCCCUAAACUGCACCUGAUACUGCCAUGCUAGAGGACUGUAGAGGAGAUUGGAAUUCACGGUGUAGCAGUGAAAUGCGUAGAUAUCGUGAGGAAGACCAGUGGCGAAGGCGAAUCUCUGGGCAGUUCCUGACGCUCAUGCACGAAGGCUAGGGGAGCAAACGGG